CCGUAUCAGCCUGAAGGCGCCCGAUCUCGUCUGAUCUCGGAAGCUAAGCAGGGUCGGGCCUGGUUAGUAUCUUGGAUGGGAGACCACCUGGGAAUCCCGGGUG
rnacentral:rRNA from 1 species